rnacentral:lncRNA from 1 species
CAUCUUCCUCAUAGUGAAACCCCCUCCUUUAAUUAUCUCACUGUUCAAUUGUACAACUCAAUCGUUCAACUUUCUGUCUUCUCUCAACCCCCUCUUUGUAUUCUAUCUUCUUUCUCUUAAUAAAUCAUCAGAAGGUUUCUUCAAUGCUUUGCAAGGAUUGUUGCUGUCGAGAUUCCAUUUACUCCCCGUGCCAAACGUGUACUGGAACUCUCGCUAGAGGAGUCCCGACAACUCGGUCAUAAUCAUAUUGGAUCCGAGCAUUUGCUUUCUUGGUUUGCUUAGAGAGGGUGAAGGUGUAGAGGCCCGUGUUCUUGAAAAUUUGGGUGCAGACCCAAAUAACAUUCGCACACAGGAAUUGCUUGCUCUUGAAGAAAGUAUAGGUUUGGUGCUCUGGUGCUCUGUGGCAUGUGUUAGUGGAGUUUAGAAGGCGAAUUCGUUCAUUUUAUCUGAUCAACCAAAGUUUACAACGUCUGAAGAUUGCAACUUCCUCGCAACUCCAACCCCGUGAGCAGCCCGCCUUCAUCGUCUAGGAUGUCAUAAGAUUCAAGGAAUUGGUGCUGGUGUUAUCCCUGAUGUUUUGGACGUCGGCAUUCUUGAUGAAGUUAUAAUGAUAACCGGUGAAGAGCCAAGGUGUCUCUAAAGGCUGUGCUCUGGAAUGCGCUAUUCUUAGUCCCACCUUUAAAGUUAGAGAGUUUCAGGCCUAUAUCUCUUGAGUAUGUGAUUUGUUUUAGCUAAUUAUGUUGAAAAGACGAUGGUAACAUGGCCUUAGUUGCAGGCAUGCAAGAAGAUAUUCCUGCAGUCUUCAGGCUUUUGAGUGUCAAGACAAACUUAAAAAUGGAUGAUUAGAUCAAAAUGUCCUUUUGAGAUUCAUAAGAUACUUUGUUAAUAAGUGUUUGGUUUGACUUUUGCUCUAGAUAGAUUUGUUAUUCUAUGAUAUCUCUUUCCAUUUUUAAUUAGAAAAAUUAACCAAAGUUACCAUGUUUUAACAUAACUUUGUUAUCAAUUAAUGUCAUUCG